GGAUUAGGCAUGCAAGUCGAACGGUAAGGCCCUUCGGGGGUACACGAGUGGCGAAAGGGUGAGUAAUGGCUGGUUAACCUACCCUCGAGUGGGGGACAACUUCUGGAAACGGGAGCUAAUACCGCAUAAGACCACAGAUGGGCAUCCAUCAGGGGUCAAAGUCUUCGGACGCUUGAGGAGGGGACCAGCUUGUAUCAGCUUGUUGGUGUGGUAACGGCUCACCAAGGCUACGACGCAUAGCCGGCUUGAGAGGGUGGCCGGCCACACUGGGACUGAGACACUGCCCAGACUCCUACGGGAGGCUGCAGUCGAGAAUCAUUGUCAAUGGGCGCAAGCCUGAACGUGCGACGCCGCGUGUGGGAUGAAGGCCUUCGGGUUGUAAACCACUGUCAGGAGCUAACAAUAAGCGUGUAACCCACGUGAUGAGUUAAACUCCAGAGGAAGUGACAGCUAACUACGUGCCAGCAGCUGCGGUAAUACGUAGGUCGCAAACGUUGUUCGGAUUUACUGGGCUUAAAGGGCGUGUAGGUKGUUUCGUAAGUYAAGGUUGAAAUCCGGCGGCUCACCCGCCGAACUGGCCUCGAUACUGCGGAACUAGAGUCACGGAGGGGUGCGUGGAACUUGUGGUGGAGCGGUGAAAUGCUCAGAUAUCACAGGGAACACCCGAGGCGAAGGCGACGCACUGGCCGUGCACUGACACUGAGGCGCGAAAGCGUGGGUAGCGAACGGGAUUAGGUACCCCGGUAGUCCACUCUGUAAACGAUGUGCACUAGGGAGAGGGGACACCUAUGUUUUCUCUCCCCAAGGGAAACCGUUAAGUGCACCGCCUGGGGAGUAUGGUCGCAAGGC
rnacentral:rRNA from 1 species